CCACUAUUUUCCCGGCCACAUGGGCUGCAUUUCACAAAAGGAAAGAUCCGAGGUCUUCAGCAACUCUUACAUCAGCCUCUGGAGGAUCUGAGACAUGCAAGCCUCCGGGUUUUCAGUCCCAUAGGGGCUGGGGACCAGAGCCAUGUUUUCCGGUCAAGACUCUAAUCCCCGUGGAGAAAAGUCAGAUCAAAUGGGAGAAAAACUGAGAUAGGAACUGCCCACCAGAGCAAGUAGGGGAAGAAAACCCCAAAGCAGCAAGUCCUCAAGGUGUGCUGUCCACAGAGCCACAGAGAGAACGCCGAGGCUCAAAGGGGAACAGACUUGUCCAGGAUCAUAAAAGGAACUGGUUGCAGCUUAGCAUUCCCUUGGUUACAAAACACCAGAGCACCAGGGAAAGGAAAACCCAGAUAGAAUUGUGCAGAGGCCAGUGUGCCAGCAGGCAACAAUCCAACCCAGGCAGUGGCUGCGUCGGCCUCCUGGCCUCCCUGGAGUGCGUGCCCCACUUCCUGUGGCUGAGGGCCUGCCUCGCCUGGCAGCACUAACGCAGAUUUGGAAUUCAAGCAGCCAUUCCAGCUGCUGUUAUAAGGCUGCCUCCCUCCCUGUCCGAGAGCAAUUUCACUUCAAAGGCCCUCCAAGUCCUUGAAAGCAGGGUUUUUUUCCCUUUUUUUUAAAGCAUGUUGGGGAGAAACAGAUGAUGCCCUCUAUUUGAGAUCAAUACAGUAAUUAUGUUGGACAAGCUCUUAGGGCUAACUUGAGGGGGAAUUCACAGCCUCAUGAAUGACAAGCGUGAAAGCUCAUGGAAUGAGAAGGACCAGCCUGCCACCCGUGUUUUGCUUGUGGGAUGCAGCCCAUUCCGCAGUAGGAUCCCCUUCUGCAGCAACCUUGGUCUGGUCUCUGCUGGGUGAGACACAGCAGAGGCCCAAUCCACUACAAGCUGGUGCAGGUCCCAAUUCUAAAGUCAAACCAGGCCAGGCGCGGUGGUUCAUGCCUGUAAUCCCAGCACAUUGGGAGGCCAAGGUGGGCAGAUCACUUGAGAUCAGGAGUUCGAGACCAGCCUGGUCAACAUGGUGAAACCCCAUCUCUACUAAAAAUACAAAAAUGCUGGGCGCGGUGGCUCAUGCCUGUAAUCCCAGCACUUUGGGAGGCUGAGGCGGGCGGAUCACAAGGUCAAGAGAUCGACACCAUCCUGGCCUACAUGGUGAAAUCCCGU
rnacentral:lncRNA from 10 species